rnacentral:lncRNA from 1 species
GUGAGUACGGCGGUGCGCUAAACAGAGUGAGUACGGCGGUGCGCUAAACAGAGUGAGUACGGCGGUGCGCUAAACAGAGUGAGUACGGCAGUGCGCUAAACAGAGUGAGUACGGCGGUGUGCUAAACAACCAAAGAUUUCAAGACUAAAGGUCGGUUUAUACGACGUCUAUCGACAGUUGUCGCCAUGACAUCAUAAACAUUCUAUUGUCAUCCGACAUCAAACUUGUCGUUAUGAAAGAUUCCCCGGGAGGGGCGGUUCCCCUUUCAGCCCCGUAGGAAACACCAGGUAGGGAGGGGCGGUUCCCCUUUCAGCCCCGGAGGAAACACCAGGGAGGGAGGGGCGGUUCCCCUUUCAGCCCCGUAGGAAACACCAGGUAGGGAGGGGCGGUUCCCCUUUCAGCCCCGUAGGAAACACCAGGGAGGGAGGGGCGGUUCCCCUUUCAGCCCCGUAGGAAACACCAGGUAGGGAGGGGUGGUUCCCCUUUCAGCCCCGUAGGAAAUACCGUGUAGGGACCUCAACACUUUAUACAGGGAAAUACCUCAACACUUUAUACAGGGAAAGACCUCAACACUUUAUACAGGGAAAGAUCUCAACACUUUAUACAGGGAAAGACCUCAACACUUUAUACAGGGAAAGACCAACAUUUUAUACAGGGAAAGAACUCAACACUUCAUACAGGGAAAGACCAACAUUUUAUACAGGGAAAGAACUCAACACUUCAUACAGGGAAAGACCAACAUUUUAUACAGGGAAAGAUAACACUUUAAACAGCGAAAUAUUUCAAAACUUUAUACAGCGAUAGACUUCAACACUUUAUAAAGGGAAAGAUUUCAGUACUUUAUACUUUAUUCAGCCCCUUAAGGCAACACCAGGUAGGGAGGGGCGGUUCCCCUUUCAGCCCCGGAGGAAACACCAGGUAGGGAGGGCGGUUCCCCUUUCAGCCCCUUAAGGCAAGCACCAGGUAGGGAGGGGCGGUUCCCUUGCUGCCCCUUAUUAAGGCAAGCACCGGGUAGGGAGGGGCGGUUCCCUUGCUGCCCCUUAUUAAGGCAAGCACCAGGUAGGGAGGGGCGGUUCCCUUGCUGCCCCUUAUUAAGGCAAGCACCGGGUAGGGAGGGGCGGUUCCCUUGCUGCCCCUUAUUAAGGCAAGCACCGGGUAGGGAGGGGCG